GGUCUGUAGCUCAGUCGGUUAGAGCGCACCCCUGAUAAGGGUGAGGUCGGAAGCUCAACUCUUCCCAGACCCACCA
rnacentral:tRNA from 1 species